rnacentral:rRNA from 1 species
GAUGAACGCUGGCGGCGUGCCUAAUACAUGCAAGUCGAGCGAACAGACGAGGAGCUUGCUCCUCUGACGUUAGCGGCGGACGGGUGAGUAACACGUAGAUAACCUACCUAUAAGACUGGGAUAACUUCGGGAAACCGGAGCUAAUACCGGAUAAUAUAUUGAACCGCAUGGUUCAAUAGUGAAAGACGGUUUUGCUGUCACUUAUAGAUGGAUCCGCGCCGCAUUAGCUAGUUGGUAAGGUAACGGCUUACCAAGGCAACGAUGCGUAGCCGACCUGAGAGGGUGAUCGGCCACACUGGAACUGAGACAAGGUCCAGACUCCUACGGGAGGCAGCAGUAGGGAAUCUUCCGCAAUGGGCGAAAGCCUGACGGAGCAACGCCGCGUGAGUGAUGAAGGUCUUCGGAUCGUAAAACUCUGUUAUUAGGGAAGAACAAAUGUGUAAGUAACUAUGCACGUCUUGACGGUACCUAAUCAGAAAGCCACGGCUAACUACGUG